GAACCUGUGGCUCAGUAGUAGAGCAUCUGGUUUGUAGACAGAACUUUCCAGGUUCAAUUCCUGGCAUCUCCA
rnacentral:tRNA from 1 species